rnacentral:ribozyme from 1 species
AAAAAAAAAAAAACAAAAAAAAAAAAACACUGUUUUUUUUUGCCAUUGUGUGUAUCAAGUUAUCUAAUGCGUGUGUUUGUGUGUGUGUGUAUGUUUUAUGAGUUUUCAUCCUGA